GCGCGUGGCCGAGAGCGGCGCCGAUUCCACCCCGUCCCAUCCCGAACCGGGUCGUGCCCGGCGCCAGCGCCGGAGAGUACUGCGCGGGCGACCGCGUGGGAGGCGAGGCCGCUGCGCGCA
rfam:Sphaerobacter thermophilus DSM 20745 chromosome 1, complete sequence.